AUUGAACGCUGGCGGCAGGCCUAACACAUGCAAGUCGAACGAGUGGCGGACGGGUGAGUAAUGUCUGUGAAACUGCCCGAUGGAGGGGGAUAACUACUGGAAACGGUAGCUAAUACCGCAUACCAUCGGAUGUGCCCAGAUGGGAUGGGCUAGUAGGUGGGGUAAAGGCUCACCUAGGCGACGAUCCCUAGCUGGUCUGAGAGGAUGACCAGCCAGACGGGAAAUGAGACAAGGUCCAGAAUCCUACGGGAGGCAGCAGUGGGGAAUAUGGGACAAUGGGCGCAAGCCGGAUGCAGCCAGGCCGCGUGUAUGAAGAAGGCCUUCGGGUUGUAAAGUACUUUCAGCGGGGAGGCGGUACCCGCAGAAGAAGCACCGGCUAACUCCGUGCCAGCAGCCGCGGUAAUAC
rnacentral:rRNA from 1 species